rnacentral:piRNA from 1 species
CUGAACUCAAAAUAACCAU